rnacentral:rRNA from 1 species
CACGCCGUAAACGAUGAGAACUAGGUGUUGGGGGAAUAACUCAGUGCCGCAGUUAACGCAGUAAGUUCUCCGCCUGGGGAGUAUGCACGCAAGUGUGAAACUCAAAGGAAUUGACGGGGG